GGAUUAUUAUUAGGCGUGUGGAGUAAGGAAAUUUGCCGAAGGUUUCGCCCUGUCUGGAAUUGAACUCCGCUCUCUCGCUUGCAAAGCGAGUACUCUAACCACUGAGCUACAGGACUCCAUGGUGGAUCUGGGGAGAUCAGCAAGGAGGCCGUUGGAAUAAUCAAUCAAGAUGGAUCCCAAGAAUGCUGCCUGGGGCAACUCUUUGCCACUGGUAGGACUCCAUCCAGCUAUGGUUUUCUAUAACUGAUAAUGAAGACAUCUCUUUCUUGCUAUGCAACUGGCCCAUGGACCUGACACACACCAGCACCACUAUCUGAUCUGUGAAUGGGGGCAUUGCCCAGAACUCUCACUGGAGUAGUUAAGGAGGGGUUCAGAAGAACAUUUUUCACACUUAAUUAUUAGAAUAUUGAACAUUUUGUCGCAGGUGGCUAUUGAGUCUGAGACCAAAACAACAUUUAAAAUGGAAAUUAUAAUAAAUAAUAAUAAUAAUCCUUGCAUGUGUUAUUGCCUCUUUCGGAUUGGGAGGGCACACACAAGCACUUCUCAGGAUUUACUGCGAAGUGGAGUGGUUGUGUAUUUGACGACAAAUGCAAAUGUGGCAGCCCAAUUGCACAAAACAAUGUCCACUAUACAGCCAUGGGUAAUUUGCUGAAAAUUUGAAGAGAAAAAAUAUAAAAUUUUAUGAAAAAAGAGCAGGGAAAUAGAACUGGAGUAGUUAAUCAAAUGACUUACUUCUAUGUUGCAAUUUAUUUAAUUCUGUGAUUCUCUGCAGAGUACAAUCUAGUGCUGCAGUUAAUGGGAUUAUCCCGUUAGAAUUCCUGUUGACAUGUGGAAAAUCUGAAUUUCAGGCAUCUGACUGUGAGGAGUAGAGUUCCUGUGGAUCAUCUUGAUGUAACUUAUAGUUCCCAGAAUGCUUUGUAUUAAUGUGACUUAGACUCCUUAAAUUAUUGAAUCCUGACAAGAAUACUGCGAACUAGAUCCCAAUGUAUAUUUGCCAAAAGCUAAAUCAGACACUUAUUUAUCAUAUGUUCAAUGCACUGCUUACUCAAUACCAGUAAAUUUUGCCUCUUCUGUGCACCUGCAGUGCAGGCUCUUGGUGGCUGUUCAGUGAAGCGUGCCCAUAGUCAGUUGGGCACUCAAUAAGGGGUCAUUCAUCCACGCCAGUGGACCUCACAGUAUACACUAAUCCAGUUAUUCCACAUACCACAGUGAAUCCAAUAAAACUUUGUAUUGCCUUAUUUAAACAUCUGUAUUUGUUUCUGAAUGGCUUUUUUUUGGAAAAAACUGUUGUCACUUUAACUAACUAAAUAAAUGGAGAACUUCAUUUCA